AUUGAACGCUGGCGGCAUGCCUUACACAUGCAAGUCGAACGGCAGCACGGGGCAACCUGGUGGCGAGUGGCGAACGGGUGAGUGAUGUAUCGGAACGUGCCAUUGAGUGGGGGAUAACGUAGCGAAAGUUACGCUAAUACCGCAUAUACCCUGAGGGGGAAAGCAGGGGAUCGCAAGACCUUGUGCUCUUUGAGCGGCCGAUAUCAGAUUAGCUAGUUGGUGAGGUAAAGGCUCACCAAGGCGACGAUCUGUAGCGGGUCUGAGAGGAUGAUCCGCCACACUGGGGCUGAGACACGGCCCAGACUCCUACGGGAGGCAGCAGUGGGGAAUUUUGGACAAUGGGCGCAAGCCUGAUCCAGCCAUGCUGCGUGAGUGAAGAAGGCCUUCGGGUUGUAAAGCUCUUUCGGCCGGGAAGAAAUCGUACAGGUUAAUACCCUGUGUGGAUGACGGUACCGGAAUAAGAAGCACCGGCUAACUACGUGCCAGCCGCCGCAGUAAAAC
rnacentral:rRNA from 1 species